GCGGGUGUAGCUCAGCGGUAGAGCCUUGCGCUUCCAACGCAUGGGUCGAGGGUUCAAUUCCCUUCGCCCGCUCCA
rnacentral:tRNA from 1 species